rnacentral:rRNA from 1 species
ACGGAAGGCAGUAGUGGGGAAUACUGCACAAUGGGGGAAACCCUGAUGCAGCGACGCCGCGUGAGUGAAGAAGUAUUUCGGUAUGUAAAGCUCUAUCAGCAGGGAAGAAAAUGACGGUACCUGCAUAAGAAGCCCCGGCUAACUACGUGCCAGCAGCCGCGGUAAUACGUAGGGGGCAAGCGUUAUCCGGAUUUACUGGGUGUAAAGGGAGCGUAGACGGCAUGGCAAGUCUGAAGUGAAAGCUCGGGGCUCAACCCCGGAACUGCUUUGGAAACUGUCAAGCUAGAGUAUCGGAGAGGUAAGCGGAAUUCCUAGUGUAGCGGUGAAAUGCGUAGAUAUUAGGAGGAACACCAGUGGCGAAGGCGGCUUACUGGACGGUAACUGACGUUGAGGCUCGAAAGCGUGGGGAGCAAACAGGAUUAGAUACCCUGGUA